rnacentral:rRNA from 1 species
AUUGAACGCUGGCGGCAUGCCUUACACAUGCAAGUCGAACGGUAGGGGGGCAACCCCUGAGAGUGGCGAACGGGUGAGUAAUGCAUCGGAACGUGCCCAGUUGUGGGGGAUAACGUAGCGAAAGCUACGCUAAUACCGCAUACGACCUGAGGGUGAAAGGGGGGGAUCGCAAGACCUCUCGCAAUUGGAGCGGCCGAUGUCGGAUUAGCUAGUUGGUGGGGUAAAAGCCUACCAAGGCGACGAUCUGUAGCUGGUCUGAGAGGACGACCAGCCACACUGGGACUGAGACACGGCCCAGACUCCUACGGGAGGCAGCAGUGUGGAAUUUUGGACAAUGGACGCAAGUCUGAUCCAGCCAUGCCGCGUGCAGGAAGAAGGCCUUCGGGUUGUAAACUGCUUUUGUCAGGGAAGAAAUCCCUUGGGAUAAUACCUCGGGGGGAUGACGGUACCUGAAGAAUAAGCACCGGCUAACUACGUGCCAGCCGCCGCCGUAAUAC